UACGGGGGGGGCAAGCGUUGUUCGGAAUUACUGGGCGUAAAGGGCGCGUAGGCGGCCUUCUAAGUCGGACGUGAAAUCCCUCGGCUUAACCGAGGAACUGCGUCCGAUACUGAAAGGCUUGAAUCCGGGAGAGGGAUGUGGAAUUCCAGGUGUAGCGGUGAAAUGCGCAGAUAUCAGGAGGAACACCAGCGGCGAAGGCGGCGCUCUGGGCCGGUACUGACACUGAGGAGCGAAAGCGUGGGUAGCAAACAGG
rnacentral:rRNA from 1 species